rnacentral:lncRNA from 1 species
CCACUUUCUGUUUCUGCGAAUCUACUGGAAAUCGUUUCACCAACAUCGGGAGACCAUAUCCUUGAAUGUGCUCUGCUUUUCAAGAAAAUGAAACAUGAUGAACAGCUUGUCCUUCUUAGUGAUAAUGUCUCUCUGAAGAUAAAAGCCAUGGCAGAAGUAAGAUUUAUGUGUGUUCAUGUUUUUCUGCAUUUGCACAUUCAAAUAUGAAUCAAAAUGAAAACUUACUGAGUUUUUUUUUUCCCCAAGGGAAUGAUCUGUGAGGCAGCAGAAGAAUUCCGAGAGAGCCUGGUGAAUCCAUUUUCCGAGAGGUUUUUGUGGGCUGAAAGCUCCCCAAGAGGACUUACUUGGUCUUGUGCAGAUGACAUUGUUCUGAGGGAGAAAUAUUACCGCGGCUUGAAGCCAG